rnacentral:rRNA from 1 species
GGGUUGUGAGGUUAAGCGACUAAGCGUACACGGUGGAUGCCCUGGCAGUCAGAGGCGAUGAAGGACGUGCUAAUCUGCGAUAAGCGUCGGUAAGGUGAUAUGAACCGUUAUAACCGGCGAUUUCCGAAUGGGGAAACCCAGUGUGUUUCGACACACUAUCAUUAACUGAAUCCAUAGGUUAAUGAGGCGAACCGGGGGAACUGAAACAUCUAAGUACCCCGAGGAAAAGAAAUCAACCGAGAUUCCCCCAGUAGCGGCGAGCGAACGGGGAGCAGCCCAGAGCCUGAAUCAGUGUGUGUGUUAGUGGAAGCGUCUGGAAAGGCGCGCGAUACAGGGUGACAGCCCCGUACACAAAAAUGCACAUAUUGUGAGCUCGAUGAGUAGGGCGGGACACGUGGUAUCCUGUCUGAAUAUGGGGGGACCAUCCUCCAAGGCUAAAUACUCCUGACUGACCGAUAGUGAACCAGUACCGUGAGGGAAAGGCGAAAAGAACCCCGGCGAGGGGAGUGAAAAAGAACCUGAAACCGUGUACGUACAAGCAGUGGGAGCACGCUUAGGCGUGUGACUGCGUACCUUUUGUAUAAUGGGUCAGCGACUUAUAUUCUGUAGCAAGGUUAACCGAAUAGGGGAGCCGAAGGGAAACCGAGUCUUAACUGGGCGUUAAGUUGCAGGGUAUAGACCCGAAACCCGGUGAUCUAGCCAUGGGCAGGUUGAAGGUUGGGUAACACUAACUGGAGGACCGAACCGACUAAUGUUGAAAAAUUAGCGGAUGACUUGUGGCUGGGGGUGAAAGGCCAAUCAAACCGGGAGAUAGCUGGUUCUCCCCGAAAGCUAUUUAGGUAGCGCCUCGUGAAUUCAUCUCCGGGGGUAGAGCACUGUUUCGGCAAGGGGGUCAUCCCGACUUACCAACCCGAUGCAAACUGCGAAUACCGGAGAAUGUUAUCACGGGAGACACACGGCGGGUGCUAACGUCCGUCGUGAAGAGGGAAACAACCCAGACCGCCAGCUAAGGUCCCAAAGUCAUGGUUAAGUGGGAAACGAUGUGGGAAGGCCCAGACAGCCAGGAUGUUGGCUUAGAAGCAGCCAUCAUUUAAAGAAAGCGUAAUAGCUCACUGGUCGAGUCGGCCUGCGCGGAAGAUGUAACGGGGCUAAACCAUGCACCGAAGCUGCGGCAGCGACGCUGAUGCGUUGUUGGGUAGGGGAGCGUUCUGUAAGCCUGCGAAGGUGUGCUGUGAGGCAUGCUGGAGGUAUCAGAAGUGCGAAUGCUGACAUAAGUAACGAUAAAGCGGGUGAAAAGCCCGCUCGCCGGAAGACCAAGGGUUCCUGUCCAACGUUAAUCGGGGCAGGGUGAGUCGACCCCUAAGGCGAGGCCGAAAGGCGUAGUCGAUGGGAAACAGGUUAAUAUUCCUGUACUUGGUGUUACUGCGAAGGGGGGACGGAGAAGGCUAUGUUGGCCGGGCGACGGUUGUCCCGGUUUAAGCGUGUAGGCUGGUUUUCCAGGCAAAUCCGGAAAAUCAAGGCUGAGGCGUGAUGACGAGGCACUACGGUGCUGAAGCAACAAAUGCCCUGCUUCCAGGAAAAGCCUCUAAGCAUCAGGUAACAUCAAAUCGUACCCCAAACCGACACAGGUGGUCAGGUAGAGAAUACCAAGGCGCUUGAGAGAACUCGGGUGAAGGAACUAGGCAAAAUGGUGCCGUAACUUCGGGAGAAGGCACGCUGAUAUGUAGGUGAAGUCCCUUGCGGAUGGAGCUGAAAUCAGUCGAAGAUACCAGCUGGCUGCAACUGUUUAUUAAAAACACAGCACUGUGCAAACACGAAAGUGGACGUAUACGGUGUGACGCCUGCCCGGUGCCGGAAGGUUAAUUGAUGGGGU